GAUGAACGCUGGCGGCGUGCCUAAUACAUGCAAGUCGAACGAAACUUCUUUAUCACCGAGUGCUUGCACUCACCGAUAAAGAGUUGAGUGGCGAACGGGUGAGUAACACGUGGGCCACCUGCCCAAAAGAGGGGGAUAACACUUGGAAACAGGUGCUAAUACCGCAUAACCAUAGUUACCGCAUGGUAACUAUGUAAAAGGUGGCUAUACUACCGCUUUUGGAUGGGCCCGCGGCGCAUUAGCUAGUUGGUAGGGUAAAGGCUUACCAAGGCAAUGAUGCGUAGCCGAAUUGAGAGGUUGAUCGGCCACAUUGGGACUGAGACACGGCCCAAACUCCUACGGGAGGCAGCAGUAGGGAAUCUUCCACAAUGGGCGAAAGCCUGAUGGAGCAACGCCGCGUGGGUGAAGAAGGUCUUCGGAUCGUAAAACCCUGUUGUUAGAGAAGAAAGUGCGUGAGAGUAACUGUUCACGUUUCGACGGUAUCUAACCAGAAAGCCACGGCUAACUACGUG
rnacentral:rRNA from 1 species